CCCUUAGACGUUCUGGGCCGCACGCGCGCUACACUGACGAAGGCAACGAGCUUUCCUUUACCGAAAGGUACGGGUAAUCUUUUGAAACUUCGUCGUGCUGGGGAUAGAUCCUUGCAAUUUUUGAUCUUAAACGAGGAAUGCCUAGUAAGCGCAAGUCAUCAACUUGCGUUGAUUACGUCCCUGCCCUUUGUACACACCGCCCGUCGCUCCUACCGAUUGGGUGAGCCGAUGAAACUCUCGGAUGUAGGCUAUUCAUAGCCCGCAGAAGAGAUUUGAAUCGUAGCGCUUAGAGGAAGGAGAAGUCGUAACA
rnacentral:rRNA from 1 species